AACGGGAAAGUGCUUAGAACGGAUUGAAAAUCCGUGUGUCCCUGGUUCAAUUCCUGGUCCCGGCACCA
rnacentral:tRNA from 1 species